GUAAAAUGUGUUAGAUGCAAGGAAAAAAAAAAAAAGACAUUUGAUUUGACACAAAAAAAGAAAUCUGAUGGAUGAUUGGAAGCCACUAUCAGCUCUGCUUUUCUCCACAUGCCUCUGGGUUACGCUAAGCCUAAGUUCCAAGAAAUGGGUCAGAACACGCUUGUUUGUGCUUGACCACACACAUACUUUGCACGGCGCAAUCAUCAUUAAUUAGCAAACUGACACGUGUGCAUACCUGGACAGACAGCCAUCCUGAGCGUGCAUGCAUCCUUUGGGCAGGGAGCCCACAGAUCUGCAAAGCAUUCAUCCAAACACACAUACACACAAACUCUGUCCCUGAAAACUGAACAGUACCGAUGUCUCAGUUGUCCUCUGCAACUUGGAGAUAAAAGUCCUCCGGCUGAUGUUGGCAAAGGAGUCAGAGAUCCACAAAGAGCAGUUGUUAUGCAAUAGUUAAUAGUAAUAUUAGUGAUGGAUAACUCUUGGCCUAUUUUAGCCUGAAGAAAGAAUCUGGGAGUUCACGUGUGUAUACACACAUACUUGGGAAAAACAAGAGCAUGGGUUUGAACAGCGGUCACAGCCUGCACAAAGGAGGGCUUUCUGCCCGAUACAUUAUCAAAGCUGCAGUCCUGUGGCUUCCUAAAGCAACUGAAGUCUUAUAUUUUAUUCUUACAACAAGUUUAAACAGUCUCAGGAAUGUUCAUGUAAAACUACAUCUUAAAUCAGAUAAAAAUCAAGUAGUUAGACAACAAAGGCAUUUAUAUAAGCAACACUAUCUUCAGGUAGAUCUCUGCUAAAGGUUCACAGCUUUAGCAAUACCCAAACCCAUAACCUCUGGCAGGAUCUUGAAAGCCUUCUGGCUGCAGGUUGUUAGGCCAGGGGCCUCUCCCUGUCUAGUCUGGGCAAUCUGCCACAGCCAGAAUGACAAAGCAAAAAAUGCUUUUGUAUCAUGUGCUCGCUCUCCAUAAGAUUCCAUCCAUUAAUGGCAAUUACCAUAACCCCCUGCUGGCGAAUCGAUACUUUCCUGGAAUCAGUUUGCAUGUACCGUCUCUCAGACUAAGGCUGCUCACCUGGAUCAGUGAGCUGCUCCAAGCAGUCCUCAGAGAUGCAACACUCAGGACAGCUCUCUUUGCUGGAGAGAGCUUCCUCAUGCACCAAAGUCCGCGCUGGUCCUGAGGCCUGGCCUCUGAACUUUAGACCCGGGUAACUCCUGGCGGGGGGGUGCGAAAAAAGGCAUGGCUGCUUUCAGAGGCCUUGACCACAGGGGCAACUGGCAAGCCCUGCAGAACAACCUGUUCAUGUGCAGAAAUGCUCCAGGAUAAGAACUGCCAUGUUCUGCAGAAGAACACACCAAGGGAUCGAAUCAUACAUGGUGGGAUAUGCAAGCUCCAGCCCUUAGCUGCUCACCAGGAAGGGGCUGAAGGCUCUGCAAGGCAAAGCUGUGCUCUGAUUUAGCUUGGUUCCAAAUGCCACACAGCAAGACAUAAUUAAAAGGAAAGAACUCCGCAAUGUUUUUGUGACAAAAUAAUAUAAUUAAAAAAUAGCUGUCUUCGGUA